rnacentral:rRNA from 1 species
CCUACGGGAGGCUGCAGUAGGGAAUCUUCCACAAUGGGGGAAACCCUGAAGCAGCAACGCCGCGUGGAGGAUGAAGGUUUUCGGCUUGUAAACUCCUGUUGUUAGAGAAGAUAAUGACGGUAUCUAACGAAUAAGCACCUGCUAACUACGUGCCAGCAGCCGCGGUAAUACGAAGGGUGCAAGCGUUACUCGGAAUCACUGGGCGUAAAGAGCGCGUAGGCGGGAUAGCAAGUCAGAUGUGAAAUCCUAUGGCUUAACCAUAGAACUGCAUUUGAAACUGUUAUUCUAGAGUAUGGGAGAGGUAGGUGGAAUUCUUGGUGUAGGGGUAAAAUGCGUAGAGAUCAAGAGGAACACUCAUGGCGAAGGCGACCUGCUAGAACAUAACUGACGCUGAUGCGCGAAAGCGUGGGGAGCAAACAGGAUUAGAUACCCGAGUAGUC